UACGGAGGGUGCAAGCGUUAUCCGGAUUUACUGGGUUUAAAGGGUGCGUAGGUGGAUAAUUAAGUCAGUGGUGAAAUCUUCAGGCUUAACCUGGAAACUGCCAUUGAUACUAUUUGUCUUGAAUACUUUGGAGGUAAGCGGAAUAUGUCAUGUAGCGGUGAAAUGCUUAGAUAUGACAUAGAACACCAAUUGCGAAGGCAGCUGGCUACACGAAUAUUGACACUGAUGCACGAAAGCGUGGGGAUCAAACAGG
rnacentral:rRNA from 1 species